rnacentral:siRNA from 1 species
CGUUGAUCAGGCCAAAAU